UAAGGACUGCAGGACUCAUCCUACAUCAAUUGAAUGCAAAUCAAACACUUUAAUUAAGCUAAAUCCUC
rnacentral:tRNA from 1 species